UUUUUUCUUUGCUGGAGUUGUGUACUCAGGUGAAUAAUAUGUUUGUGAUGUUACUCUGAGUGCAUAUCCACACCGGGCGAGCUUAAUUGAAAAAUAUGCCCGGCCACGGUGGGAUUCGAACCUACGACCUUUGGAAUACUAGCCCAAUGCUCUUCCAACUGAGCUACGCGGUCAGGACGGUUCGAGUAAGUGAUAUUUCGGAACAGUAUCUAGUUCCUUCAAUACCAAUGUGUUCUUGUAAUAUGAAUUUUU